GAUGAAGAACGCAGCGAAAUGCGAUAAGUAAUGUGAAUUGCAGAAUUCAGUGAAUCAUCGAAUCUUUGAACGCACCUUGCGCCCUAUGGCUAUUCCGAAGGGCAUGCCUGUUUGAGUAUCGUGAACACCUCAACUCUCAUGGUUUGCCAUGAUGAGCUUGGACUUGGGGGUUUUGCUGGCCUUCGGUCGGCUCCUCUCAAACGGAUCAGCUUUCCAGUGUUUGGUGGCGUCACGGGUGUGAUAACUAUCUACGCCUGUGGUUUUCUGCCAGAUAACCUUCAGCGAUGGAGGUUCGCUGGGGCUCAUAAAUGUCUCUCUUCAGUGGAGACAGCUUUUUGGACGUUUGAUCUCAAAUCAGGUAGGACUACCCGCUGAACUUAAGCAUAUCAAUAAGCGGAGGA
rnacentral:misc_RNA from 1 species